GUGCAAUAGCGAUUGCAGCGGCAUCCUUUUUUGCUAUUAAAGGCAAAAAAGAUAUAGCGGAAAGCGCGGUGCUUU
rnacentral:sRNA from 1 species